UAGAUAAAAUAAUGAUAAUUUGUAAAAAAAACGAAUUCAAGUUUUUGUUCUAAUAAUUGAUUCUAAGUAUAAUUUUAGGAAUUAAAAAUUCAUGUCUUACAUACUAUAUUAAUUAAAAUCUGUUGUUUGUUGAUUGCAAAGUUAGGACACUAAUAAUUAGUGUCUUAUGUAAUUUAUUACAUUUAAAACAACUACUAGUAAGACAAUAUUGUAUUAAUACAAAAAAGAACAUUAAUCGUGUGAAAAACAUAAUGAAUAAUANUAAUUAAAAAAAAAAUAGUAAUUUACUCGUGUAAAUCUUAUAUUAUUAUUUAUUUGAAUUUAUAUGUUUAGUCUGUUUACAUGUAUUAAUAAAAAUAUGUAAAAUUAUUA